AAUCACCCACACCAAUCACCCAAUGCCUUAUUCAGAACUUUGACAGAAGGAAACUUCUGGGCCUUGGUCCCUAAGCAUCACGCUUUCCCUGGGAAAGCAUGCACACAUAUAAGCAUGCACCAGGCCUGAGUCUGGACAGAAAAAGGAGUUCCUCCAAGGAGAAAAAUGAAACACUUCUCCAAAGUCUUCAUUAUGAGAGCCAGGCUUGCCAUGCCACCUACUGUGCAAGUUCCAGGAUUUUCCUUUGGUCAGCAAUCUGGAACACCAGUGCUCAUCACAUGCGUGGUCUUUGUGUUUACUCGCUUAAAGCCAAGCAGAAAUAAGUAAUAUUUAUAUUUUUAGGACAAGAAGAAUUCAACAAAUGUUAACAGUUCACAAUAUGGCUUUUGUCUCCGUGCCCAAUGACCACCUUGCCUUUCUAUCUCAAAAUAAUGCCCAUAACAGUUCUGCUCCACACCAUCUGGAUCCCUUGUGCAAUCCUGUGGUUUUCCCUUCCUCGUCUCUAGCCUCCUGUCCCAACACCACACGUGCUGCAGUGGCCCUCAGCCUCACUACCCACUCCUUCCUUGUUACAGAUUAAACCUCCCUGGCAGGAAGGUGAGGAGUCAGGUGAGAUGAAGGUUUGCUGGCCUCAUUUCAGAGUGGAAGGCACAUCAUCAAAGGAGACGGCCACAGAGAUGUUUAAAAACCAUCAGACCCCACACUUGUGCCCACGUUCCCUUAAAAGAUACCUCCCCAGGAGCCACACUUUGCUAAGCCAGAAAGGAUGGAUCAUACCAUGUUAGUUUCACAUGUAUUGCCCAGACAAGUCUUUCUUUCAGUGUUGAUGCUGUGAGGCUGUAAAUGCAGUGGGAUUUCCUCAUGAGCUGGCCCUUGUCCCUGCCACUGAAAAACUACUUACUCUUCCACGUCAAUUCCUCCAGCGCAAGCCCAUUCCCUCUCUGAACCCUUUGCUUCUUGUCUGUUCGAUUUAUUUCCCGCAUACAAUAUAUUAUAGGCUGAAAUGUGACCUCUCAGAUACUUAUACGUUGAAAUCCUAAGCCCCAGUACUUUAGAAUGUGACUGCAUUUGGAGAUAGGGUGUUUGCAAAAUUGAUUAAGGUGAAACGAGGUCAUUCGGGUGGGUCCUAAUCUCAAAUGAUGGGCCUUUUUAUAAGAAGAGGAGAUUAGGAUGUGGGUACAGAGGGAAGACCUCGUGAAAACCCAGGAGGACAGCCAUAUGCAAGCCAAGGAGAGAUGCCCUGAACAGACCUUCACAGCCCUCAGAAGGAAACAAUCUUGCUGAUACCUUGAUCUCUGAUUUCUAGCCUCUACAAGUGUGAAACAAUAAACUUCUGUUGUUUAAGCUGCUCAGUCUAUUUUGUUACAGUAGCCCACACAAACUAAUACACCAUACAUAGUUUUGAGAUAGUCCCGUGUGGCCUUGUCACUGAACUCUUAAGAGUUUUAUUUUAUAGCUUGAUUUCGUUGCAUGGUGGUGUUGCAGUGAGUUGUGUUAUUAUUUAAACUGUGUGGGCUCAUUUCUGUGACAAGCUAUAAGGCCAGCAGCCACGUAUUCAUAUACUCCCUCAUAGACCUACCUGCUGCAGCAUCUCUGAUCAUCAUCAUAAUGUCAGUGUUCAGCAGAAUUUGAAGAAUGAAAGAUGGAUUUGCAAGAGACUAUUUUUAACAUGUGCUGCCUUGCUAUAUUAAAUAUAAAUCACAGCCUUCUUUAAUUAAUAGGUGUAGAGACCCACUUUUUACAAGUCAAUAUGUGGCACGAAAAAUGCACAGAUACAUAUAGGUCAAUGGAAUAGAACAUUUAAAUCAGGACUGUGUGGGGAAAGUCCAGCACAGUACCUUCCUCCAAAAAAACAAAACAAAACAAAACAAAAA
rnacentral:lncRNA from 1 species